CAUUGCCGACUUCCCGUGCU
rnacentral:sRNA from 1 species